rnacentral:tRNA from 1 species
UAUAUCUUGAUGUAUGAAGCAUAAAAGUUUUUGAGAUUUUAGGUGAUAAAAAUAUUAUCAGAUAUAA